rnacentral:rRNA from 1 species
GAUGAACGCUGGCGGCGUGCCUAAUACAUGCAAGUCGAGCGAACAGACGAGGAGCUUGCUCCUCUGACGUUAGCGGCGGACGGGUGAGUAACACGUGGAUAACCUACCUAUAAGACUGGGAUAACUUCGGGAAACCGGAGCUAAUACCGGAUAAUAUAUUGAACCGCAUGGUUCAAUAGUGAAAGACGGUUUUGCUGUCACUUAUAGAUGGAUCCGCGCCGCAUUAGCUAGUUGGUAAGGUAACGGCUUACCAAGGCAACGAUGCGUAGCCGACCUGAGAGGGUGGAUCGCCCCCCUGGGACUUAGGCCACGUCCAGAAUCCUACGGGAAGCCACCAUUGGGAAUCUUCCGCAAUGGGCGAAAGCCUGACGGAGCAACGCCGCGUGAGUGAUGAAGGUCUUCGGAUCGUAAAACUCUGUUAUUAGGGAAGAACAAAUGUGUAAGUAACUAUGCACGUCUUGACGGUACCUAAUCAGAAAGCCACGGCUAACUACGUG